rnacentral:rRNA from 1 species
GUGGGAUUAGCUAGUUGGUGAGGUAAGGGCUCACCAAGGCGACGAUCCCUAGCUGGUCUGAGAGGAUGAUCAGCCACACUGGAACUGAGACACGGUCCAGACUCCUACGGGAGGCAGCAGUGGGGAAUAUUGCACAAUGGGCGCAAGCCUGAUGCAGCCAUGCCGCGUGUGUGAAGAAGGCCUUCGGGUUGUAAAGCACUUUCAGUCGUGAGGAAGGUGGUGUAGUUAAUAGCUGUAUCAUUUGACGUUAGCGACAGAAGAAGCACCGGCUAACUCCGUGCCAGCAGCCGCGGUAAUACGGAGGGUGCGAGCGUUAAUCGGAAUUACUGGGCGUAAAGCGCAUGCAGGUGGUUUGUUAAGUCAGAUGUGAAAGCCCGGGGCUCAACCUCGGAAUUGCAUUUGAAACUGGCAGACUAGAGUACUGUAGAGGGGGGUAGAAUUUCAGGUGUAGCGGUGAAAUGCGUAGAGAUCUGAAGGAAUACCGGUGGCGAAGGCGGCCCCCUGGACAGAUACUGACACUCAGAUGCGAAAGCGUGGGGAGCAAACAGGAUUAGAUACCCUGGUAGUCCACGCCGUAAACGAUGUCUACUUGGAGGUUGUGGCCUUGAGCCGUGGCUUUCGGAGCUAACGCGUUAAGUAGACCGCCUGGGGAGUACGGUCGCAAGAUUAAAACUCAAAUGAAUUGACGGGGGCCCGCACAAGCGGUGGAGCAUGUGGUUUAAUUCGAUGCAACGCGAAGAACCUUACCUACUCUUGACAUCCAGAGAACUUUCCAGAGAUGGAUUGGUGCCUUCGGGAACUCUGAGACAGGUGCUGCAUG